CGGGACGUCGUGACGGUUGUCACCGGCUCGAUGGGAGUUCCGGGUCGUAACACGUUAUUAUUAGCAAAUACAUCUAAUUGUUCUUGUACUUCAGCUUCAUGUUUUUUCAAUAAAGCUAUCUUCGCUUCAAUGUCUUCUAACUCAUUUUCCAAUGAAGACUUGUUGAGAAAAAUCUUGACUUUAGAUUUACAAUCACUGAGGCACUCAAGCUUGAAUCCAAAGUUACAAGCAUCAUCGAAAUCCUGUAACAUCUGUUGCAAUUCCUCUGAUGAAGCACUCAUUAGUGGAGCAUGGGAAAUGGCUAAAGCUCGACCCAACACUUCCAUCAUUAAGCAAAUGACGUCUACGUUUUUUACAAAAGAGUAUGUGCUACUUGAGUGCCAGAAGCACUACUUGCAUCUCUAUGUUCUGGCACUGGGGAUGAAAAAGCACGAGGAUUAUUUGGAAUAGCUCCAACAUUAUCAGUAUCAACUCCAACAUCAUGAAUAACCUCAACAUUUGGAGUAGCCUCAGGGACAACUUCAACAGCAGGAAUAGUCUCAGUGUCAGGAACAACCUCAUCUCAAAUAACUUGGGAAGUAAGAAUAAUCUUAACUUUAAAAAAAAAAUGGAACAACAUCAAUCGGAGUAACAUAGUGAUAUGUUUAUACCUGAUUCAUGGUAGAGCUUUGAACACGAUUUGGAAUUAGAACAUCCAAAUCAAUGAAAUUAUCAAAAGGGACUAGCUCACCUUCAACUUCAGCUUCAUCAACAUCAACAGACUCAUCAUCAAAUUCAUUACUAUGUUCAGAGUCAUAUGAUUCUUUCUCAGUCUUAGCUUCAAAAGUCUCUUCCUCUUCAACUGAGUUAAGUUCUACUUUCGCAGUUGUUUCUCUCUACAAAAAAAAAAUAUGAUGAGGAAAUGAAUUUAAAAAAAAAGUAAAUGAAGAAGUAAAUGAUGAACUUACUUUUCGAUGCACAUGUUUUAUUUGAUUAGUAAGUGCGUGAGGAACAUCAUCUUCUUUUUCAAUUACAUUUUUUUUCUUUUUUAGAGAAAUCAAGCAUAAGGAUAUAUCGGAGUUACUUAUAGGAGGAGUGUAGAGACAAGCUCUGGGAUUAGUCAAAGACAUAAUAAAAGAUCUCCAUUUUUCAACACACUUCCUCCAAUAAGCAAACCAUCUAAAAGUGUGGAUACCAACUCUAUCAAAAGCUGAGACAGUACAACUCUUAAGUUUAUCUAAAAGGAGUUGAAGUCCUACCAUGAGGAAUGAAGAAAUGCAAGAAGAAAAACUGAUAGUUAAAGAAGAGUCAGGCGGAGCUGGUUGGUCAAACUCAAAUUGGCAUGCCACUCUAGAAGGAGAAUAUACCUCAACAGAAAGAAUAUUUCUAUCUCCACCUGAACUGGAACUCUCAAUCAUAGAUGGCAAUUGGGAACUAUGAACCCAUACAUAAAAGUUAAUACCGUAUGAACUCAUUCUUCCAGACUGUAGAAGGUGGCGAUCAUAAUAAAUUUCAGGAUCACUAAAUCCAUUUAUGGGCUGCACAUAAGGUCUGGGAUUGAAUUCUUUUGUCACAUCCAUCAUUUCAAGAACAUUACCUCUCAAAAGUCGAUCAUGCCAUGCCGAAGCUCUGUAGUUGUUCCUGGAUAAAGGGUUAUUCACGAAAAAAGAUGCAAAAGGAUAUGCAUUAGGCACGAGAGCGCAAAUACCAAACCUUUCCUAUAGGCACAUCUGAAUGAAGGAAGCAUCCACAUAAGUUAAAACUUUGUAAUACCCAGCUGAUUCAACAGUUUUAAGUUAGUACAAGUCUAAUCUCUUAUAUAGAGAUCCUAAAUACAGUGGAGCAAGAGGAAAAUGCAUUCCCUUAACAAUUUUUAUUGCUAAAGGAACAAUUGCUGGAGAGAUACCAUCAUCUGGACACCCUGGGAGUAUGUGUCGUGCCAACCAAAAGAUUAUUAAAGCCACUAGCUCAUGCUUAUGGUCUAGGUACUCAAGAGAACCAAUUUCAAUUCCCUUAGCAUUGAACUUUUUAUAAAAAAUCCCUAUCCAAUUAGAGAAUUAUGCAACCUUCGAAAUUUUAAUUAGACUCUUAAGUAGAUCAAGGAAAAAGUCUCGAAUACCUACCUUUUCUUCAAAAGUUUAAUAGAGUGAAAAUCAUGUUUUCCUAUACAAGGAAGUUCCAAGAGAACACAUACAUCUUCCAGAGUGAAGGUAAAUUCCCCCCAUGCUGCAAUCAUAGUAUGAAAAAAAGUGCUCCACCUUGCAAGAAUAGCGCGCCAUACAUUCAUCCUUUUUUCUCUACAAAUAUUAAGCUUGGAAAUGACACGUAUAACAUCAAGUAUCCCAGCAGAAGAGAGAAGUUUAACAUAAGAAAGAUUUUUCAACACCUUAAUCACCCAGUCAUCCCAACCAUGAACAAAUUCAUAAUUGGAGCCUAACUUAAUAGCAGAAAGGGAAAACUCACCACGUUCAAACCUGAACUUCAGAAUAGAUUGUCCUGGAAUACCAAUUCUUUUAUAAGGAGGUGCUUCUGAGCAUAGACGAUUCCAAUCAUAUCCAACAGGCUCAGAGGGAUGUUCGUCACCCUGUUUAGCACGAAUUUCUUCCCCAAAACGAUAUUCUCCUCGUUCUUUAAUAAUUUUAUCUUCUCAAUUUUCAAGGACAAGAGAAACUUCACCACUAUUUCCUACUCUAAUUUUCUUGGAAGCAACUAAUUCUGAAUC